ACAUCGUAGAUAUUCCUUCUCGCUAAUUAUUGGUUUUCUUUUUGCCAUAAACAAUUAGGAAUAUGCUGGGGCCAUAUGCUGAUGAUGACAAAUAGUGAAACAUGUUAACCUCAGGGAGACACAAGCUUUGGGCACAAAGUCCACAAGGACGAGUUAUGGAGGCCCAGGGGGACAGUGCUGCCACAGUUGUUUCUCCAAAUCCAGAUUCAGAUUUUAUGGAUGAGCGAGGCGAUGCCUCAUCUCAUGAAGGCAACACUCCGGUGGUAGAUGCACAGGAAAGUGAAGCCACAAAUCUUCAUGCUGAACCUCAAGCAGCAGAGCAGUCAGUGAAGGAAAGUAAACCAGGUGGAGCAGCUGGCUCAGGUAGAGUUGCUGGAAAUAAUGGUGAAAAAGACAGUAUAGCAUCUGAUGAAAAUGUGGACUUGACACAAGAUGACAAAGAAGGUAGCUCCGAUUCUCAGAGUGAACCAUUUGAGAUGCUGAAAAUACCAGAUCCAGGGGAGGCAACUCCAACACAUUCCAACAUUAGUGACGAGGCUGAAAUACUGGACGCAGCAAAGGAAGUAGACCAAGACAGUGUGAAAGAAAAGGAUGUGCCUGAGGAGAAGGAGGAGGAGGAGGAAGAUGGUGGUUAUGUGGACAUAUUAGGAAAUGGUUUGCUGAGGAAGAAGGUGAUAAAGAAGGGAGAAGGUCGUGAUUCACGCCCUAACCAUGGUGACGUGGUUACACUAAAGGCUGAGGGUCGUCUUGAGAAUGGUAGAGCUGUAGACAAACAGGAUACUGUCACAUUUACACUUGGAGAUGGCGAUGUUAUACAAGCCUGGGACCUGGCAGUUUCAUUGAUGGAGAUGGGCGAGGCCUGUGAACUCAUUACAGCAGCAAAAUAUGCCUUUGGAGCCACUGGCAGAGAGCCUGAUAUCCCAGGUGAUGCCACCAUCACAUACACCCUGGAACUCCUUAACAAAGAGCAAAGCCCCUUGCUCAGCAGCCUGUCGGUGAAAGAGCGAUACACAAAAGGGGAAACAAAGCGAGAGAGAGGCAAUUACCUGUUUGGAAGGAAGGAUUACACUGGUGCCAUUAACUCCUAUUCUAAAGCCAUCACAAUACUAGAAUAUCCUGGCAGCACUGAUGGCGCUGAAACCAACACGUUGCAGGAAAUCCUGGACUGCAAGCUGAAAUGCUACAACAAUUUGGCUGCUUCUCAACUGAAAAUUGAUGCGUAUGAUGCAGCAAUCAGAUCCUGUGAAGGGGUACUGAAGAGUCAGCCAGAAAAUGUUAAAGCACUCUACAGAAUAGGAAAGGCCUACAGUUCCAAAGGUGAUAACGAGAAAGCUUUAUCUUAUCUGAAGAAGGCACUGAACAUAGAUCCAGCGUCAAAGAUUAUACACACAGAAUUGUCAAAGUUGAGUCAGAAGUUGAAAGCAGACACAGACUCUGAGCGUGCAAUGUACCGGAGAAUGAUGGGAGCAAAUAAGCCGACAAAGAAACCAACUAAUGGUCCAUCAUGGUGGAAGAUGCCCCUGAUAUUUGGUGGUGUGAUGGCAGGUGUGGUAUCUGUCGGUCUAGCAGUGGCGUACAGAUAUGGCCAGCACUGACGGCGGGGGGUGCCACAUGAUAAGAGGAGGGGGCGUGACAGUGUGAGAGUGGGGUGAUACAGUGAGACAUUCUGACACCUAGGGGUGUGACAGUGUGACUACUAGGGAUGUGUCAGUGUGACAUUGUGAGAACUAGGGCUGCUAUAUUUUAACAGCUAGGGGUGAUACAGUGUGACAUUUUGUGACACCUAGGGAUGUGUCAGUGUGACACCAA
rnacentral:misc_RNA from 1 species